AUGGCUUCCUAGAAAAGCAUAUCAGCUGUCCUUUUUGGUAGACACACUGACUAUUCCUGCUUUUCUACGCAAUAGUCCUUCUGGGUCAUUUGGGGAUUUGGACUGAAGACAACUUAAAAGUGGCACCGAGAGGCAGUCUGGUACCGUAAAACGAGGAUAACCUCACGGUGAAGAGAGGCGAGCGUACGAACACAACAACCCCAAAAGUUUUUGCUUGUCACCGUGAGAAAACCGACGACUGUUAUGGGCCUCGGAUUAGUGGCAUUUCUCUGGUGUUUUCGGUCCUUGAUCUGAAUCGCUGCUGCUCCCUGAGUCUGAGCUGUCUGAGGACGAAGAAGAGGAGGAAGAGGUGGAGGAGGAAGAGCUGUCAUCGUCGCUGUCACUGCUGCUGUCGCUGUCAUCUGAAGAGGAGCUGGAGGAGUCGCUGCUGUCUGAUGAUGAGUCACUGGAGGAGCCGUCUGAAUCACUGCUGCUGUCGCUGGAGUCUUUAGCCCUGAGUGCAAGAGGCGGAGCACAAAAGGAAAAAACAUGAGCGCAGAACAACAGAACAGCGUGUAUUGUUAUUAAGGUCUCACGCUGUACCUGUUACAGUCUGGUUUUUGUACUGUCACUUCACAGAGGAGAAGAGAUGAGAAGAAAGGGAUGUGCUGUGAUUGUGAAGUGGUUUGUUUUUUGUAACCUUCUUCACAGUGACAUGCUGUGCUCGCCUAAUUUUAAAAGUGAAAUGACAAAGUCUACGAUGCCAUGUUUUUUGUUUGGUGGUUUUACUUAAACUGAGAAAAACAGUGGCAAACUGGGAACAUUACCUGCACCAUGUAGUAUAAGAAACCAUUUGCUAUCUCUUGACUGAUGAGCACCUGCCCCUCCCACAACCAGACUUUGCACGACACAAGAGUUAUAAUGACUACGCAGGUAAGUGGCUUCCAGACUGGAGGUGAGAGGAGUAGAAGGGGGGGGAGUGAAACUAAAGCUGAACAGAGCUUUUGUCACAGCAGACAUUUUGACUUGGCAAACGCAGGUGUUGCUAAUAACGUUAUUAAUUGCUGCAUAGCACUGCAAUAACGGCCAUCGUUAAGCUUAUUCGUUCCACCUGUGCUUUUCCUGCAACGUCAAGUCAAACAAUUUAUGCUGGG